GGGGCUGAAUUGGCUUCGACGGGAACAUUUACAACCAAAGUACGCAAGCGGAAAGUUAUCUGCCUAAUUGGUAACAACAAUUACGUGCAAACGUAUUAAGUCGUGCUAAAGCUACUUUAGCUAACGCGUUUAGCUUUAGCCCGGUCUUAGCCCUCGCCUAAACCCGAGAGCCGUAACAAGCCUUAACUCCGAUGGAGACUUGUUGCGCCAUAUUAUCGGAUGCUUGUCUAAGAGGCAUCGUUUAGACACUAAGAAUUGAUGCUGGAAAAUACAGUGUUUUGUCUGUUUAGAGCUGUAUUUUCAAGAAAAAUAAAACAAACUAAGCUUGUAGACACUUUGGUCGUUAGUUUUCGGACCCGAGUUCGAUCCUCGGCAGCUCCACCA
rnacentral:tmRNA from 1 species